rnacentral:rRNA from 1 species
GAUGAACGCUAGCUACAGGCUUAACACAUGCAAGUCGAGGGGAAACGCCAUUGAAGCUUGCUUCGCUGGUCGUCGACCGGCGCACGGGUGAGUAACGCGUAUCCAACCUGCCUCUGACCAAGGUAUAACCCGUCGAAAGUCGGCCUAAUACCUUAUGCAGUCGUCGGAAGUCAUCUGAUGACGACGAAAGAUUUCAUCGGUGAGAGACGGGGAUGCGUCUGAUUAGCUUGUUGGCGGGGUACCGGCCCACCAAGGCAACGAUCAGUAGGGGUUCUGAGAGGAAGGUCCCCGAGAGGGGAACGGAGAAACGGUCGACACUGCUACGGGAGGCAGCAGUGAGGAAGAUUGGGGAAGGGGAGAGAGCCUGAACCAGCCAAGUAGCGUGCAGGAGGACGGCGCUAUGGGUGGUAAACUGCUGUUAUGCGGGGAUAAAGUGAGGGAAGUGUCCGUCAUUGCAGGUACCGGAUGAAUAAGGACCGGCUAAUUCCGUG